rnacentral:rRNA from 1 species
UACGUAGGGUCCGAGCGUUGUCCGGAAUUACUGGGCGUAAAGAGCUCGUAGGUGGUUUGUCGCGUUGUCCGUGAAAACUCACAGCUCAACUGUGGGCGUGCGGGCGAUACGGGCAGACUGGAGUACUGCAGGGGAGACUGGAAUUCCUGGUGUAGCAGUGGAAUGCGCAGAUAUCAGGAGGAACACCGGUGGCGAAGGCGGGUCUCUGGGCAGUAACUGACGCUGAGGAGCGAAAGCGUGGGGAGCGAACAGG